rnacentral:rRNA from 1 species
AGAGUUUGAUCCUGGCUCAGAACGAACGCUGGCGGCGUGCUUCAUACAUGCAAGUCGUACGAGAAAGCUCUCUUCGGAGAGUUAUUAAAGUGGCAAACGGGUGAGUAACACGUGGGAAACUUGCCCCUCGGCGGGGGAUACGCUUUCGAAAGGAAGUAUAAUACCGCAUAAUAUCAGAGAAUCACAUGUUUUUCUGAUCAAAGCAGCAAUGCACCGAGGGAUGGUCCCGCGCCUGAUUAGCUUGUUGGCAGGGUAACGGCCUACCAAGGCGACGAUCAGUAGCCGGCCUGAGAGGGUGAUCGGCCACACUGGGACUGAGAUACGGCCCAGACUCCUACGGGAGGCAGCAGUAGGGAAUAUUGCGCAAUGGUCGCAAGACUGACGCAGCAACGCCGCGUGGGUGAUGAAGUUUUUCGGAAUGUAAAACCCUUUCAGUGGGGAAUAAUAGCCUUCGGGCCUGACGGUACCCACAGAAGAAGUCCCGGCCAACUCCGUGCCAGCAGCCGCGGUAACACGGGGGGGACAAGCGUUGUUCGGAUUUACUGGGCGUAAAGCGCUCGUAGGCGGUCUCACAAGUCGGAUGUGAAAACCGAAGGCUCAACCAUCGGCCUGCAUCUGAAACUGUGAGUCUAGAGUACUGGAGAGGAUGCGGAAUUCCUGGUGUAGCGGUGAAAUGCGUAGAUAUCAGGAGGAACAUCGGCGGCGAAGGCGGCCAUCUGGACAGAUACUGACGCUGAGGGGCGAAGGUUAGGGUAGCAAACAGGAUUAGAUACCCUGGUAGUCCUAACGGUAAACGAUGGGCACUAGGUGUUGGCGGUAUCGACCCCGCCAGUGCCGCAGCUAACGCAUUAAGUGCCCCGCCUGGGGAGUACGGUCGCAAGAUUGAAACUCAAAGGGAUUGACGGGACCCCGCACAAGCGGUGGAGUAUGUGGUUUAAUUCGACAACGCGAAGAACCUUACCUGGACUUGACAUAUGUUGGAAAGCCACAGAGAUGUGGCCCCCUCUUCGGAGGUCGAUAUACAGGUGCUGCAUGGCUGUCGUCAGCUCGUGCCGUGAGGUGUUGGGUUAAGUCCCGCAACGAGCGCAACCCUUGUCCUUAGUUGCCAUCAGGUUAUGCUGGGAACUCUAAGGAGACUGCCGGUGACAAGCCGGAGGAAGGUGGGGAUGACGUCAAGUCCUCAUGGCCCUUACGUCCAGGGCUACACACGUACUACAAUGGCCGGUAUAAUAGGUUGCAAUAUCGUGAGAUGGAGCCAAUCCCUAAAGCCGGCCUCAGUUCAGAUUGAAGUCUGCAACUCGACUUCAUGAAGGUGGAAUCGCUAGUAAUCGUAGAUCAGCAGGCUACGGUGAAUACGUUCCCGGGGUUUGUACACACCGCCCGUCAAGCCAUGGGAGUGGGGGGUGCCCGAAGUCGCCAAUCUAACCUUCGGGAUGAUGGCGCCUAAGGUAAAACCCACGACUGGGGCUAAGUCGGAACAAGGUA